rnacentral:lncRNA from 1 species
GGCCCACGUGACCCCCGCAGGCCGGACACUGUGCGGGCCCCGCCCCCAGCCGUCGGCGGGCGCGCGGGGGAGGACGACGCGUGGGAGCUGGUGCUGGAGGGCAACUCUGCUGCGCCUGCGCCUGGGGCGCGCGGUUCAGACCUCGCAAACCUGGCCCCGAGCCAAGCGGCCCCGGAGGUGGCGCUUGGUCGCCGGCACCGCUCCUUCCGGGCAUCGAGUCUCUCGGACUCGUCACGCCAGUCAGUGCCCUGAGGCAUCUCUUCUUCCUUUACCUGCCGCUCUCCGCCGCUUCCACCCUCCGGGAGAGAACCUGUUUUCCGGAGGUGAAGGACUCUGCCUCAGGAUGGGGAAGUCUGCCCCUUUCCCGGGAUGUGUCGCUGAUGCUUCUUCAGAGGUCUCUGGUCCGGGCUGAUGGUCUCUUCCAAACCCUCUCCUACCUGGUGUACAUCUGGAGGAUCGACUGGAACCACGCAGCAGAGCAGGUACCAGCGCGGGGGCCCCUGGAGGAGGGGAGUGUGCGUGCGUGCUGUGAUUCCAGGGCAGGCGAGGGCUCUUCCAGGGUGAGGAUGGUAAGAAGCCCAUGGGCAGCAGGACGCGCUGUGACUCGUGAAGAGGCAUCGAAUGUGAGAGUGAGGGCCAAAG